GCCGGAUUGGCGGAACCGGUAGACGCGGUGCACUCAAAAUGCAUUGUCGAGAGACGUGUGGGUUCGAGUCCCACAUCCGGUACAA
rnacentral:tRNA from 1 species